rnacentral:rRNA from 1 species
AUACGUAGGGUGCGAGCGUUAAUCGGAAUUACUGGGCGUAAAGCGUGCGCAGGUGGUUUUGUAAGUCAGAUGUGAAAUCCCCGGGCUUAACCUGGGAACUGCGUUUGAAACUGCAAGGCUAGAGUGUGGCAGAGGGGGGUGGAAUUCCGCGUGUAGCAGUGAAAUGCGUAGAGAUGUGGAGGAACACCGAUGGCGAAGGCAGCCCCCUGGGUCAACACUGACGCUCAGGCACGAAAGCAUGGGGAGCAAACAGGAUUAGAUACCCCAGUAGUCC